UUCAAAAUUAUUGGUCAUAGAUUAUUAAUUGGUCCAAAUAGUUGGUCACAUACACCAAACAGUCCCACCAUCGGUUCCGAUCCAGCACAAAUCUUGGUCACAAAUCACUACCACACCACUGCAACCUCACCACCACAGUUGUGGGCCAAAAUUGGCACCACAAUCACCACCAAAGCCGACACCACUACCACGAACAAAACACAUAAUCAAAACUACUCUACAACCAUCACAGAAACAAAUUCACGACAUCGCACGGCUCAUGGCUCAUCGCACUUACAGCACAUACCCCUACCAAAAAUCGCAUCCAACCACACACCGGCAAUGCACACCACCACGACGCAUCCAACCACUAUACACUAGUAGUGCCACCACGCUGCCAACACCAUCGCACCUACAGUGCACACACCCACCACCACUACCACAUCCAACCACACUACCAUCUAACAGUACAAACCCAGCACUAUCACUUCACUACACAAUCGUCGAAUUCAAAACCAACUACGGUCGACAAGGCAGCAACAGCGCCACUAGCUGCUUCAGAGCGACGUCUCUGCAGUGGUGGCGUCGAGCCAUGAUGCCUACGCUAUCUCCGGCAGUGAUGUUCGAUGAAGAGAAAUGGAGGUAUAUAGAGAGAGAAAAUAUAAAUCGCCCCCGACGCCCACCAAGAAAUCUUUCAGUGGUGACGCAGCCACGCAAGUGGUUCAACUCCGAAGGUAAAAUUACCGCGCUGGAGAUAAUCUUUUACGAGCGGAGCGAUUUUUGUUGAGAGAGAAGAGAGACUAGAGAGCAGAAUAGAGUGAGACGGGAAUAGGGGAAAUGAUUAGACUUUUUAAUUGAAUUGUGUUGAUUAAUUAUAUGUAAUACUUGAUUUGCAAAUAAUAAAACUUAGUAUCUAAUUUUUGAAUUGUGA
rnacentral:lncRNA from 1 species